GGUGGCUCAGUGGUAGAGUACUUGCCUUGCAUGCAUGAGGCAGGUUCGAUUCCUCAGCACCA
rnacentral:tRNA from 1 species